GGUGCUCACUGGGUGACUGGUGGAGGGGAUCUAAAGGCCGGGGGGCCCUGCUGGCCCCCUGGUCAGGUAGGGAUAGGUUUGACAGUGCUUGGAACACCACCCACGGGUUCUGGCUGCACCUCCUUCCUCAGGCUGAGCUCCUCUGUGCUUUGCUGCUGCUUUCUGCUCCCUUGUAAGACUGUUGAAGGAACUUGGAAUUAAUCCUUUAAGUUCUUAGCUGUGGAGAAAGAAAAGAAGGGCACAGGAGGUUCUCCAAGUCUCUUCACCUGACCUGGGUGCCUCUGCAGCCUGCAUCUUACCCAGCCCUGGACUCGUGAGGCUUAAGGCUCUACCAUGUUGAUUCAGGGUGCCUCUGAAAAGAGCUGGUUCCCUUCCUCUUCACAAGGCUGCCCUAUUGCACUUAACAUAAGACCUCCAUCUGCAAAUGCCUUAAGCCAGAAGCUCACCACAGAAUCAACCUAGUUUCAGCCAGGAAGGCUCCUGUGUUCUUAACCAGAAGCUCACCAUGGAUUCAAUCUGGUUUCAGCCAGAAGCUCACCAUGGCAUCAACCAUGUUUAUAGGCACAAUAUAGUGCAGAAGCCAAUGUCCAUGGGUCCAGUUUUGUGCAUACAGACCUAUGUGAUUUACUGACCAUUAUCUGCACCUUGGCUCCUUCAGCUUGGAGUGAACUGGUUUGUGGCUGCUCGGAGGCUCUUGAAAAGCAACGUUUCUUACCUUCUCUUCCACUGCUGAUCUGGGUAAAAAACCCUUCAUCUUCCUGCCUAAGUAGGUUUUUUUCUGCAGAGGAGUAUAAAUUUUCUCUUGUGCCACCAGGACACUUUGCAACUAAGGAUUUUAUGGCACAGAGAGGGUGUAAUAAAGUCCCUCAUCUUCCAGCUCAGUAAAGCAAAACACAAAGGAGCUCUCUGAGCAACCAAAGAGCAUCAGCAUUAUUUUUAUCAUUCACAAGGAGUAGUGUUUGUAACAAGCCAGUGAUUUAAAAGGUGUUUAGAAAGCAGUGGCAUGGUGAAGGCUUAGCUCAGCAAAACACUUGAACUAGAAAAACCCAAACGACACCAGGAAAAAACCCAACCCCCAAACAACACAGAUCCAACUAGUGAGGGACAGAAGCAGUUACUCAAGUCACAACAAAAUGGAGUUGGAAUACAUAUUU